GGUUGUUGUCCUGGCACCACAUUGCCAGUUCUCUGACCUCCUCCCUAUAGGCUGUCUCAUCGUUGUCGGUGAUCAGGCCUAGGUCGUCAGCAAACUUAAUGAUGGUGUUGGAGUCGUGUUUGGCCACGCAGUCGUGUGUGAACAGGGAGUACAGUAGGGGACUAAGUACACACCCCUGUGGAGCUCCAGUGUUGAGGAUCAGCGUGGCAGAUGUGUUGUUACCUACCCUCACCACCUGGGGGCGGCCCGUCAGGAAGUCCAGGAUCCAGUUACAGAUGGGAGGUGUUUAGUCCCAGGGUCCUUAGCUUAGUGAUGAGCUUUGAGGGCACUAUGGUGUUGAACACUGAGCUGUAGUCAAUGAAUAACAUUCUCACACAGGUGUUCCUUUUGUCCAGGAGGGAAAGGGCAGCGUGAAGUGCAAUAGAGAUUGCAUCAUCUGUGGAUCUGUUGAGGCGGUGUGUGAAUUGGAGUGGGUCCAGGGGUUCUGGCUUUGUUGAAUAUUUUCUUUCUUGUUGACCCGACCGUGGGACAGACUAUGUUUGUUCCCACACUCAGGACUUUGAUUCCUGAUAAAAAGUAUUUGUAACCUACAUAGAGUCAAAGUAAGACCCAAGUGCAGACUGUGUGAAGUAACAAUGUUUAUUGUAACCACCAGGGAAGGCAAACGACAGGUUAAGGCAGGCCGGGGUCGAUAAUCCAGAGUAGAGGUCAAGGUACAGGACGGCAGGCAGACAGCAGGUCAGGCCGGGGUCGAUAAUCCAGAGUAGAGGUCAAGGUACAGGACGGCAGGCAGCAGGUCAGGCCGGGGUCGAUAAUCCAGAGUAGAGGCCAAGGUACAGGACGGCAGGCAGACAGCAGGUCAGGCCGGGGUCGAUAAUCCAGAGUAGAGGUCAAGGUACAGGACGGCAGGCAGACAGCAGGUCAGGCCGGGGUCGAUAAUCCAGAGUAGAGGCCAAGGUACAGG
rnacentral:lncRNA from 1 species